UCUCACACAGGUGCUGCAUGGCUGUCGUCAGCUCGUGCCGGUGAGGUGUGGGUUAAGUCCGCAACGAGCGCAACCCUCAUCUCUAGUUGCCAUCAUUAAGUUGGGCACUCUAGAGAAACUGCCGCAGUUAAUGCGGAGGAAGGUGGGGAUGACGUCAAGUCCUCAUGGCCCUUAUGGGUAGGGCUUCACACGUCAUACAAUGGUCGGUACAGAGGGUUGCCAAGCCGCGAGGUGGAGCCAAUCCCUUAAAGCCGAUCGUAGUCCGGAUCGUAGUCUGCAACUCGACUACGUGAAGUCGGAAUCGCUAGUAAUCGCGGAUCAGCAUGUCGCGGUGAAUACGUUCCCGGGUCUU
rnacentral:rRNA from 1 species